rnacentral:tRNA from 1 species
GCGCCUGUAGCUCAGCUGGAUAGAGCACUAGCCUCCGACGCUAGGUGUCGCACGUUCGAAUCGUGUCAGGCGUACCA